rnacentral:rRNA from 1 species
AUUGAACGCUGGCGGCAGGCCUAACACAUGCAAGUCGAGCGGUAACAGGACUAGCUUGCUAGUUGCUGACAAGCGGCGGACGGGUGCGUAACACGUAGGAAUCUACCCAGUAGCGGGGGAUAGCCCGGAGAAAUCCGGAUUAAUACCGCAUACGCCCUACGGGGGAAAGCAGGGGAUCUUCGGACCUUGCACUAUUGGAUGAGCCUGCGUCGGAUUAGCUUGUUGGUGAGGUAAAGGCUCACCAAGGCGACGAUCCGUAGCUGGUCUGAGAGGAUGAUCAGCCACACUGGGACUGAGACACGGCCCAGACUCCUACGGGAGGCAGCAGUGGGGAAUAUUGCACAAUGGGCGAAAGCCUGAUGCAGCCAUGCCGCGUGUGUGAAGAAGGCUCUAGGGUUGUAAAGCACUUUCAGCGAGGAGGAAAGGUUGAUGAUUAAUACUCAUUAGCUGUGACGUUACUCGCAGAAGAAGCACCGGCUAACUCCGUGCCAGCAGCCGCG